rnacentral:rRNA from 1 species
AUUGAACGCUGGCGGCGUGCUUAACACAUGCAAGUCGAACGGGUGAAGGUAAAUGCUUGCAUUUACCGGAGCUAGUGGCGGACGGGUGAGUAACGCGUGGGCAACCUGCCCUAUGGAGGGGGAUAACAAUGAGAAAUCAUUGCUAAUACCGCCUAAGCUUACAGUAAAGCAUUUUAGAGUGAGAAAAGAUUUAUCGCCAUAGGAUGGGCCCGCGUCUGAUUAGCUAGUUGGUGUGGUAACGGCAUACCAAGGCAACGAUCAGUAGCCGACCUGAGAGGGUGAACGGCCACAUUGGGACUGAGACACGGCCCAAACUCCUACGGGAGGCAGCAGUGGGGAAUAUUGCACAAUGGGGGAAACCCUGAUGCAGCAACGCCGCGUGAAGGAAGAAGGCUUUCGGGUUGUAAACUUCUAUCGACAGGGACGAAGAAAGUGACGGUACCUGAGUAAGAAGCCCCGGCUAACUACGUGCCAGCAGCCGCGGUAACAC